UGGGGGAUAUUGCACAAUGGGCGAAAGCCUGAUGCAGCGACGCCGCGUGGGGGAUGAAGGCUUUCGGGUUGUAAACCUCUUUCGCUAUCGAACAAGGCCCGCUUAGGGUGGGUUGAGGGUAGGUGGAGAAGAAGCGCCGGCUAACUACGUGCCAGCAGCCGCGGUAAUACGUAGGGCGCGAGCGUUGUCCGGAAUCAUUGGGCGUAAAGGGCUUGUAGGCGGCUUGUUGCGCCUGCUGUGAAAACGCGGGGCUUCACUUCGCGCGUGCAGUGGGUACGGGCAGGCUUGAGUGUGGUAGGGGUGACUGGAAUUCCAGGUGUAGCGGUGGAAUGCGCGGAUAUCUGGAGGAACACCGAUGGCGAAGGAAGGUCACUGGGCCAUUACUGACGCUGAGGAGCGAAAGCAUGGGUAGCGAACAGG
rnacentral:rRNA from 1 species